UGGCAAUGAUGACAAAAAAGGCCGGGCUUACAGCUGCUUUCAAAUGGUUGGUAGUAGAUUGAUGAAACCAUUGUCUAAGGUUUUACUGAGCCAG